rnacentral:rRNA from 1 species
CGGAGGGUGCAAGCGUUAUCCGGAUUUAUUGGGUUUAAAGGGUCCGUAGGCGGACUAUUAAGUCAGUGGUGAAAGCCCUCUGCUCAACAGAGGAACUGCCAUUGAUACUGAUAGUCUUGAGUACAAGUGAGGUUGGCGGAAUGUGUGGUGUAGCGGUGAAAUGCUUAGAUAUCACACAGAACACCGAUUGCGAAGGCAGCUGGCCAACUUGUAACUGACGCUGAGGGACGAAAGUGUGGGGAUCAAACAGGAUUAGAUACCCUGGUAGUCCACACCGUAAACGAUGAUCACUAGAUUUUGGCCGUAAGGUCAGAGUCCAAGCGAAAGUGUUUAGUGAUCCACCUGGGGAGUACGACCGCAAGGUUG